rnacentral:rRNA from 1 species
CCUACGGGGCGCAGCAGGCGCGAAAACUUCACAAUGUGCGAAAGCACGAUGAGGGGACCCCAAGUGCUCGUGCUUCGCCUCAGCUUUUCCGGAGUGUAAAAAGCUCCGGGAAUAAGGGCUGGGCAAGACCGGUGCCAGCAGCCGCGGUAA